UACGUAGGGGGCUAGCGUUGUCCGGAAUCAUUGGGCGUAAAGCGCGUGUAGGCGGCCCGAUAAGUCCGCUGUAAAAGUCCAGGGCUCAACCCUGGAAAGCCGGUGGAUACUGUCGGGCUCGAGUCCGGAAGAGGCGAGUGGAAUUCCUGGUGUAGCGGUGAAAUGCGCAGAUAUUCGGAGGAACACCAGUGGCGAAGGCGGCUCACUGGCCCAUAACUGACGCUGAGGCACGAAAGCGUGGGGAGCAAACAGG
rnacentral:rRNA from 1 species